rnacentral:rRNA from 1 species
GUGUCAGCCGCCGCGGUAAGACGAAGGUGGCGACCGUUGUUCGGAAUCACUGGGCAUAAAGCGCGCGUAGGCGGCAAAGUAAGUCGGGUGUGAAAUCCCUCGGCCUAACCGAGGAACUGCGCUCGAAACUACUUUGCUUGAGGACGGAAGGGGAGUGUGGAAUUCCUGGUGGAGCGGUGAAAUGCGUUGAUAUCAGGAGGAACACCGGCGGCGAAGGCGACACUCUGGUCCGUUUCUGACGCUGAGGCGCGAAAGCUAGGGGAGCAAACGGGAUUAGAUACCCCUGUAGUCC